AUGCCGAUCUCGAAAACCUGUCCCAGUUCGGACUAGAGUCUGCAACCCGACUCCACGAAGUUGGAUUCGCUAGUAAUCGCGCAUCAGCCAUGGCGCGGUGAAUACGUUCCCGGGCCUUGUACACACCGCCCGUCAAGCCAUGGGAGCCGGGGGCGCCUGAAGUCCGGGACCGCGAGGACCGGCCUAAGGCGAAACUGGUGACUGGGGCUAAGUCGUAACAAGGUACC
rnacentral:rRNA from 1 species